GCUAGAAUAAAGGGGAAAACCAUCAUGUGUAAAAAACACCGUUGUGCACAAAAACCAUUGUUGCGCACAAGAACACAAUUGUGUGCAGAGAAGCAACCAUCACGUACAAGGACCGUCAUCGUGUGCAAGAAUACCACAAACUGUAAACACCACCACAUGAAAAGAAAAAACUAUCGAGCACAAACACCACAUCCAUGUGCAUAUGAGCAAAAAGUACUGUCUCACUUGCUAUGAAACACAUGGCCACAAUGUGUAUAGGGAAAAAAACCAACAUCGCAUUUACUUUGAAAUGCAAGGCCACCCUGCAUGCAAGAAUACUAUGUCGAUUCGUUGUGCACCUGACAUCCGUUUUUUGGUUGUACCACUACUCGAAAAAAAUCCUAGUGCCAAUUAGUGGUGGUUGAAUUUCCCUCACAAUCGGUUUGUUUUCUCUUUCUCUCUCUUGGUCAGUUAGGAAG
rnacentral:lncRNA from 1 species